rnacentral:rRNA from 1 species
CCUACGGGAGGCAGCAGUGGGGAAUAUUGCGCAAUGGGCGAAAGCCUGACGCAGCGACGCCGCGUGAGGGAUGAAGGUCUUCGGAUCGUAAACCUCUGUCAGCAGGGAAGAACGGUCACUGUGCUAAUCAGCAGUGAAUUGACGGUACCUGCAAAGGAAGCGCCGGCUAACUCCGUGCCAGCAGCCGGGGUAAAACGGAGGGUGCGAGCUUUAAUCGGAAUUACUGGGCGUAAAGCGCUCGUAGGCGGUAUGUCAAGUCAAGGGUGAAAUCCUCGGGCUCAACGUGGGAACUGCCUUUGAAACUGGGAAACUUGAGUGUGUGAGAGGAUAGUGGAAUUCCAGGUGUAGGAGUGAAAUCCGUAGAUAUCUGGAGGAACAUCAGUGGCGAAGGCGACUAUCUGGCACAUAACUGACGCUGAGGAGCGAAAGCGUGGGUAGCAAACAGGAUUAGAUACCCUGGUAGUC